rnacentral:other from 1 species
AAUUCUCUGAGAUGUUUGCCAGUGGGCGAGUCCCCUGAGCCGAUAUUUUGUACCAAUAAGGAUGUGAUGUUCUGUGAUUGGUGAGCAUGCUCGGUUCGCCGAGAAGCCUUAAAGUUGCAGCAUCGCGUUCACCUUGAACCAAGGGUUCAAGGGUUACAGCCCACAGCGGCAUCUUGGAGAUCCU